rnacentral:rRNA from 1 species
UACGUAGGGUGCGAGCGUUAAUCGGAAUUAUUGGGCGUAAAGCGCGUGUAGGCGGCUUUGCAAGUCGGGUGUGAAAGCCCUCAGCUCAACUGAGGAAGUGCGCCCGAAACUGCAGAGCUUGAGUGCCGGAGAGGGUGGCGGAAUUCCCCAAGUAGAGGUGAAAUUCGUAGAUAUGGGGAGGAACACCGGUGGCGAAGGCGGCCACCUGGACGGUAACUGACGCUGAGACGCGAAAGCGUGGGUAGCAAACAGG